rnacentral:rRNA from 1 species
AUUAAAUGAAUAAAAAUAAUUUUUUAUGUCAGAAUUAUCUUUAUGUUAGUACUUUAAUGGAAAGUUUUUUAAAUUUAUAAUUAUUACCUAAAGGGGUGUAAUAUCAUUCGGAAAAAGAAAUAUUUAAUAUAUGUACUUUUUGUAUCAUGGUCUAUAGAGGUGGAAAAUAAAUAUUUAUUCCUGAAAAUCUUAGAGCUAUUUAUUUUAAAAUUUUUAUGUUGCAAAAUAAGGGAUAAAAGAUAAAUAGAGGUGAAAUGUUAGUCGAAAAGGUUGAUAGCUGGUUGAAAGAGAAAUAUGUAUUCGCAUAGCGCAUUGUUAGUUUGUCUGAAAUGUUUUUUUAGAUGAAAAAUUUUGUAGUUAGUUCUUUGGGGCUAAGCUCAGAGAAAGUGGAGUAAAGAUUGGAAAAAGUAGGCUUGAAAUUAGCUAUCUUUAAAAGUUUUUUAUAAAAUAUCCUUUCUUGUUUUAAAUGAUACAAUAUCUUUCUGUGUUAAAAAACUGUUUUUACUAAAUUAGUAUAGAAUUAGUAGCGAUAAUUAUAUUGAUAUUUUUAAAAAAUUUUAUAUUUAUAUUAUUGUUUUUUUAUUUAAAAUUAUUACUAAGGAACUCGGCAAAUAUACUUCCCGCCUGUUUAUCAAAAACAUCGCCUCUUGAUAUUAUAUUACGAGAGGUUGGGCCUGCCCGGUGAAUAACUAUUUAAACGGCCGCAGUGAAUAACUGUGCUAAGGUAGCGUAAUAAAUUGUCUCUUAAUUGGAGAAGGGUAUGAAUGGUUUGACGUGGUGGUAUCUGUCUCAGUAAUAAUAAGGUGAAGUUUUCUUUUUAGUUAAAAGACUUGAAUGGCGUUAAAAGACGAGAAGACCCUGUCGAGCUUGAUAAAAAUAUAGAGUGUUUUUGUAUAAUAAGUUUAGCUGGGGCAGCUGAAAACCAUAAAAUAGUUUUCUUUUUUUUGAAGAUCCGGUUUAUACCGAUCAUAAGAAAAAGCUACCGCAGGGAUAACAGCGUUAUCUUUCCUGAGAGAACUAAUUGAAGGGAAGGUUUGCGACCUCGAUGUUGGAUUAAAAUUUCUUUUUGGUGUAGCAGCUAAAAUAGUAGGACUGUUCGUCCUUUAAAAUUUUACGUGAUCUGAGUUCAGACCGGCGUGAGCUAGGUCGGUUUCUAUCUUUAGUGAGAUUGCCAUUGUACGAAAGGAUCCGGCUUUCUAACUUUAUUUGUUAUUUUUUAUAAUAUGAUUUUGGCAAA